CAAUAGCGUAUAUUUAAGUUGCUGCAGUUAAAAAGCUCGUAGUUGGAUUUCGAGUGGGAAUGGCCGGUCCGCCGUUUCGGUGUGCACUUGCUACGCCCACCUUGCUGCCGGGGACGUGCUCUUGAGUUCACGCUCGGGACACGGAGUCGGCGAGGUUACUUUGAGUAAAUUAGAGUGUUCAAAGCAGGCCUACGCUCUGAAUACAUUAGCAUGGAAUAACACGAUAGGACUCUGGCCUAUCUUGUUGGUCUGUAGGACCGGAGUAAUGAUUAAGAGGGACAGUCGGGGGCAUUCGUAUUUCAUUGUCAGAGGUGAAAUUCUUGGAUUUAUGAAAGACGAACUACUGCGAAAGCAUUUGCCAAGGAUGUUUUCAUUAA
rnacentral:rRNA from 1 species